rnacentral:sRNA from 1 species
UGGGGAUAGGUUGGGUGAGGCUGAGUACAGCUGGGUUCGGAGGAAGCACUUCCUCCACAGAGUGUAGGGGCAGUUUUUAACCGGAGCCUCCCAGAGUACAGGCAUGGUUGGGCACAGUAACCCCCUUACAUGUUAGUUAAAGCAGCCCCUGUGAGGGAAGGGUUUUAUAUAUAUCCCUCCCCCCCAACCGCGCCAACUGCCCGGAUGCAGCAUGGCGAUCGCAAUCAGGCUGGAGUCAGGGAGCUGUCAGCAGAUGGGCGAUGGGCAACGGUCAAGUGCUUUUUCUUGUGCAGUGCUAUCACGGCUUAGUUUCUGGGGCUGGUAAUACGCUGUAGUAAUGGCCUGUCGGAGAGGACUGAGAGAGUCAGAGGAGUCCCCGCUGAAUACUCAGCGUUCCGUCGUCAGCGCACGUCCCCUGGCUGGCCUAUACAACUGCACUGCACUGCCACCAAGUGAUACGGUCUCUGGCAGACAAUAAUCUGCCCUUUUUUUGGCGAUGGAGAGUCACUGAGCAAGGUAGAGGACGCGCUAGGAGGGAAAUGGCAAAAGAGGGGAAGCAAGACGACGGUCGCACGCAGUCAAGACGAAGAUCUCGGGGCCAAAUUGACAGGGCAGAAAGGAAAAAAUCAUCCGCGGUCAGGGGCCGGGUGCCUGGGACCCCUUAGACGGACGCGGUUCCAAGGUUCGGUCUUUAUUUACAAUGUGUUCGACCCAGAAACUGAGACGAGGAAACAAAACAAUCCUUCAUUUCGCCUCUUGCGAUGCUGUGUUGUGGUUCGGACUUCAGCUUUCCAAUUUUGCGCUUCUCGUCUCCACUGUAUCUCUCCGUCAAAUCUGCUGGUGGCUGCGUUCUUACGUUCUCGCUUUGCACCCGUCUCACCGUCUGGCCACACUCUGCUAUCACCACCACACGACCGCCAACCCUUUUUUCCUCACUUAUCCCUUCUAACUUAUCCCCAUUACAGUCUCUACCCUUCGUUUUUGUUCUUAUCCAACCUUGCUUCUGGCCUUCAAUCCAUUCAUUCUUUGACAUUCCGGCGAUAGGGCGCUCACCCUCCUUCAUCCUAGCGCUAGUCUCCACUUACCCAACGCUAUCCGCCUCCAUGACGAGUCCUGCGCCUUUCCGCUUAGUAUGCUAUUCUUGUCUAUAGAUAGAUCGAUAGACACACACGCUUUCUUUUCAUGAGCAGACAUAUCCUCACUGCGACAACGUUCAUUAUAUUCCACGUCUCUCGUUAGACCGCAUAUCUCGUCCUUAAGUCGUUUUGUACUCUUGUCGAUUCUCCACCGGAUCUCCACGACCAACCGCUCUGCGCCAAAAGCAAUUGAUCAAUGGUUUCUCGAGUUUGAUAUCGGCGAGAUCUAUCAUCUGCAUCGUACACUCAUUCCGAGAGGCUCGAUUAGUACAUAGAUACACAAAGGAAUACGCUCCGUCAGCCAUCGCCAUGGCUGUCAUGGACCAAAUGGGCUUCACCCCCUUCCGCCGGGACGAAAUCCUCCAGCCUCGAGAUUUCAGAACUACAUUCUCCACGUGGGAAAAUUGCAUGGCCAAGACCUACUGCAAAUGGCCCGUCGUCAUCGGCAUUGCCAUUGGCAGCAUCAUCCUGAUUGGUGUCAUCUGGGGUAUAGUCGCCUGCGCCUGCUGCGGCUACACCUGCUGCAAGGGAUGUUGUGCAUGCUGUAGCUGCUGCUGCCCUUCCAGAGACAAGUCUCACAACCGCACCAAGUUCGCCGAUGAGCCCUCCGCCUACAAUGCUCGAAACCGACGUCUCUCCACGGGCUACCAGCGGCCCCCCGCGCCCCCCGUCUACGACUCCAACCAUUCCACUCCAGCCAAAUUCGCCCAAUUCGACACAGUUCAUCCCCGUUCGAAGUCCAACGAUGACGCCCUCCCACAAAUGCCAACCUGGGAUUCGGCCAAAACCCAUCGUGUCGAAGAAGUUUCCCCGCCGAGCGACGUGGAAAUGAACCGCCUGGACCCUGCCACGGGCCAGAACUUCAAACCCCAGAGCUUCAGCCGUCCCGUACGCUACAACAACAACACUAACAGCGGCGGCAAUAGUUACUACGACAGAACCCCGACGUCCUCCGCCUAUUCCCCCACCUUCGACGGCUACCGCGGCCCAGAAGCUACCACUCACCAGUCCCGCUCCCCUUCCCCAGGAAACCCCUUCGGUCAUGCCGACGCUAUAGGUAUCGCAACAAGCCAUCCCCCCACCCACCAGCACCACCAAUACUUCCCGCCCAGAAGCCCAAGCCCGGAACCUGUUACUCCAUACCCUCCCUACACCGAAGUGCCCACAGCAACAACCGCAAUAAUGCCAAACGCCAUGACAACACACACAACUAUGUCCCCGCCCCCAACACACCCCAGGGAAGCACUACAACGAUACCCACCAGCCCCGAUGCCCCACCCCCCUCCCCACCCGCCACCCGCUCAUACUCGCCCUACCCGCCCCCGCAACCCGUGCCGCAACUCCAACACCUACGCCAGCAUUCACCAACACAGUCGCCAACACAUCAAUCCCCGCGUUACCUCCCGCAACAGCAGGGUCAAAAUCAGGCAUACGCGCCCUACUCACCCGCUUCAUCUGUGCCCAACACCCCACCGCCACCCUUCUCGUCGACCCUGGGUGAUUACGAUCAGAUAUUGCCCGGCGCGCAGCAUGGGCAGUAUGGGACUGGCAUUGAUGCACCGCCACGGGAGCAGGCCCCGCCGAGUGCGUUACAGGUUGGGAGGGCGCCUCCGGGACCUAAGUCGUGGAGGGAUGUUUGAGUUGGAUUUUGUUUGAAAGGUGGACCAGGGAUGAAGUUGGUAAAUUGAGAAAAAUCUUGAGGUUUUGGUUUCGGUUUUGGUUUCUGGUCUCUGGCUUUUUCGUUUGGAUGAAAUGUUCGAUGUUACAUUGAGGAUAUGUUUUUAUUCCCGUACGUCCAUGCAUGCAUGUGCAUAGUAAAAUAUUUUCAAUAUUUUCUCCUUCCCUCUCAUCUUCCUUUUUUUCGUACACCAUAUUCUGACCUUCCCUUUUCUGCUUUCUUUCUUUGGUUGACAUAUUAAAAAAUAUAUUUUUACGUCUUUCAUGAGGGUGAAGUGAUUAGAUCAUUUUUUUCUGAAGAAAGUUUUCUCACCUGGUGGUAAUUUAUACUGUGCCUUUCAUCUAUCUAUACCUUGCUCCCCUUCCCGCCUUUCCUUGAUUUUAUUUUAUUUUAUUUAUUUAGGUAUAAAAAAUGGACGUUGUAAUGUUUAUUUUUACCUCGUCUUAUAUAUUAUCUCCGCCACAGUCUUGUCUGCACUAAAAAUAAGCUAUGCAAGACUUCUCAUCAAUAUACACU